rnacentral:lncRNA from 1 species
AACCACCAAAAUACCAAUCCUUCAAAAAUACCACAUCUGCUGAGGAGGAAAGAAUCACUGCUCUGCUGACGGGAGGGGAGGUGAAAAACCUCAACAAGCACUCUGAAUGAGGAGGAGUCAUAACAAAGGCUCUACUCAACAUAAAUCUGUUCGGGAGAAAUCCCAACAAACACCCUGCUUGGGGGAGAAAAUCUCAACAACAGCUCUGCUUGGGGAGAAACCCCAACAACAAUCUGGAGAAAGAGGAUACAGC